GCUUCCGUAGCUCAGAUGGAAGAGCCCCGCCUUCUAAGCGGUAGCGCGCCGGUUCGAGCCCGGCCGGAAGCU
rnacentral:tRNA from 1 species